AACGAACGCUGGCGGCAUGCCUAACACGUGCAAGUCGAACGAGACCUUCGGGUCUAGUGGCGCACGGGUGCGUAACGCGUGGGAAUCUGCCCUUGGGUUCGGAAUAACAGUUGGAAACGACUGCUAAUACCGGAUGAUGACGUAAGUCCAAAGAUUUAUCGCCCAGGGAUGAGCCCGCGUAGGAUUAGCUAGUUGGUGGGGUAAAGGCCUACCAAGGCGACGAUCCUUAGCUGGUCUGAGAGGAUGAUCAGCCACACUGGGACUGAGACACGGCCCAGACUCCUACGGGAGGCAGCAGUGGGGAAUAUUGGACAAUGGGCGAAAGCCUGAUCCAGCAAUGCCGCGUGAGUGAUGAAGGCCUUAGGGUUGUAAAGCUCUUUUACCCGGGAUGAUAAUGACAGUACCGGGAGAAUAAGCCCCGGCUAACUCCGUG
rnacentral:rRNA from 1 species